ACAAACUUGGUCAUUUAGAGGAAGUAAAAGUCGUAACAAGGUUUCCGUAGGUGAACCUGCGGAAGGAUCAUUACACGUACACGCGGGCUCCGGCCCAGUGUUUGACCCUUGCUUUUCGCGUACCUGCCAUUUCCUCGGCGUGCUUGCGCGCCGUUAGGACACUUUCAACCUUUUGAAAUGCAAUCAGCGUAACAAAUUCAAUCGUAACAACUUUCAACAACGGAUCUCUUGGUUCUGGCAUCGAUGAAGAACGCAGC
rnacentral:misc_RNA from 1 species